rnacentral:lncRNA from 1 species
AGGAUGCCCUCUAUGCUCAUUUUGAUAUUAUUUUGAAAAGGUCUUACCAAACUGGGAACGGCUAUUGAUCAGCAGUUUUUGAUGUUUUUUUGCUUGGCUUUUAUUUUUUGUAAUAAUAGGGUCCCUGAUUUCCCCCUAACCAUUUGAUGUCCUUUUCUUUUUUCAGAACUCUUCAGAACUGACACUUCACACUGGCAGUGAAGGAUGCUUCCCAGUUGUUUGCAGAGAGGUGGUGGGCCAUUGCUGUGGAGAAAGUUUCCUCAUCUGAAAAAUGAUCUGGAGAAGGACUCCACUAAAAAGUUAACACUCCAGUAGCUCUGCUAAGAAAACCCAAAUGGGGUCACAAAGAGUUGGAUAAGACUAAACAACCACCACAACGUGAGUUUUAGGAAGUCCAGAGAGGU